UAUCAAACUUUCCAAACGAGUCGAUAUUAUAAUACGCCUACAUAAAGGGAUUUAAAAAUGGCGCAGUCUCGAUUGGUCUCUUUAAAAAGAAACUAUCGAUACGGCAAAUUAUACCGUGUAUUUAAAUUUUAAAACGACGUAUACGCUGAACAUUUCGAAUCAUUAUUCUUGUAAAUCGACGUAAUUACGCUCGUUAAUCAUUGGAAUUACGUCGUAUUUGCGUGAGAAAAUUUGACUAGGUGACGUCACUUGGGAGGUCACCAUCGAUCGCGGGACUAGUUUCAUCGUCUUUAAACUUCAUCAAGGAUGCUGUCGGACUUUUUAUGCGAACUUCUUACGGCCGGCGACCUGAACGGUGAGUAAACGAUCAACGAUCGAUUCACAUUCGAUCGACUCAUUGGAAACAACUCGCUCUCGGCGACAACAAAAUCUCCUCUCUCUCUCUCUCUCUCUCUCUCUCUCUCUCUCUCUCUAUCUAUCUAUUUCUUUCUUGCUUUCUAGAAUCAGUCACUCUCUCUCUCUCAACACUUGCCAACGAAGAAUAUUAUUUCAAUAAUCUAACUAACGGUGUUGUAAUAUCACUUAAUCGCUAAUUACAUUUUCUCCCAGGCAUUUUACGAAAGUACUUUUUGACCACCUACAGACCUCGCCAAGUGAAACUAGCAGGAACAUAAAGCAAAAUAAGAAACACUGCCAAGAGGAAAGAAGAAAAAGAAAAAGAGAAAGAGAGAGAUUCAACCGGUUCGCAAAUAACCACACGCAAUAUCCUCUUUGAACAUCACUCAGGUUAUAUUGCCCAUUUUACAAUGGCAUCCUUCCUUCAUUCGUCCAUCGCAAAGAACAGAGCCGACUAAUAACCAAGACGGAUUGUGGUUAAUGAGAAAGAAACGAAACGUUUACUCACUCGGAAAGGCAGAAUAUAUUUUCUUUUAAGGAAAAAAAUAAAACCACGUCGAAGUAUAAUAGGUAUGUAGAUGAUAGGAUGGGCGGAUGGAAGGACCGACGGACGGGUAGAUGAGAUGGAUGGAUGGAUAGAAAAAUAGAUAGAUUCUGACGCGACAAUCGUAAACGAUCAACGUUGAGAUUUUUGGCUGAAGGCUUUGGCGAUACGGAUGACGCAUCGAUAACAACCGAUGUCCCACAUAACUUUUAAGAACGAAAACUACUACUAUUUCGUGUGUUCGCCCAACACAUCAAAAUAUGUACCAAAGGAAAAGAGAGAGAGAGAGAGAGAGAGAGAGAAAGAGAGAACGAAGGUUAUGCGUAAUUACAUAUGCCGCGGAUUGAUGCCAAAUGGCAAAAUCGUUUACAUUGACUACGGUACAUGUGACACGCCAUUUAACAUUACCCCACAUGAAUGGAAAAAAAAAAAAAUGAUAAAUAAAUAAAUAAAUAUCUAACGAAA